rnacentral:misc_RNA from 1 species
UUUCCGUAGGUGAACCUGCGGAAGGAUCAUUACUGAGUGAGGGCCCCUCGGGGUCCAACCUCCCACCCGUGUUUAACGAACCUUGUUGCUUCGGCGGGCCCGCCCCACGGCCGCCGGGGGGCAUCUGCCCCCGGGCCCGCGCCCGCCGAAGCCACCUGUGAACGCUGUCUGAAGUAUGCAGUCUGAGACAAUUAUUAAAUUAAUUAAAACUUUCAACAACGGAUCUCUUGGUUCCG